rnacentral:lncRNA from 11 species
CUGCUUUUUCUUUUCUCACUGGUUUUAAUUCAAAGUCACUUGCAUUUAAUUUCUUUGAAACUUCUGCAUUUGGAACUGAAAAUUCACCAGACCAUCAGCCAGAUGAAAGCUGUUCUGCUAGAAAUAUUAAUCCUACUUCACCAGAAAAAAAUAUUGGAGAUUUGUUUGGGAAAAUGGACACUGAAGAUUCAUUUGCAUUUCCCUUUCAACCCUGCUCUUCUGCUCAAGCUUUUCAAGAUGGAAAAGAUGACUUCAGUUUCCCUUUUGUGUUUGAAUCAUCUGAGCCCACAUCUCUAAAAGGCUUUCAAUCUUCAUCACAAAGCAAAAAGCCAUUUUCAUUUUUUUGAAUAGAUGCCUUUACUGGAUUUAGAGUUCUAGUGCAGCUUAGCUUUAUAAAAUGUGUUUGGCUUUCUACAUAAAUUAAAAGGAACAACAAAAGGAAAAAAAGUGGAUUAAAUUUCCAAGUGGUGAAAAUUUACAUUUAGUUUCAUAAAUUUUAUAAAGAUUAAUGUUAGAGUAUAAAUGUCUUGGUUUCUGUUUAUUAAAAUAUUUCCUAACUUCUUUUUUGGUGUGUGUGGGAGACAUGUAUAGAGUAAAAGUUCAAGUUUAAUUUGAAAAUGCUCUCUUCAAAAGGUUUGGUGCAAUUUGUUAAGAAUCCAAUUGUCAGUGUCUACAACCAACCAUCUUAAAAUGUUAUCAGGUUUGGUAAACCUGUUGUAAUUUAUUUUGGCAACAGAAUAUCAUAUUUUAUAGUUGUUUUUGAUGUUUGAGAGUAGUUUCCUAUAAAGAAAUGUUAAAUAAAGAUUAAGUUUAUUAAACUAUGGAUAUUUCUUC